AUGUUGAAGAUAUACAAAUAAAGAAACUCCGCUUUAAUACUAAGAAACUCCGCUUUAAUACUAAGAUAAGCCUUUUAUUGCCGAUCUAGCUUUUUAUUCAAGCUAACGAACGCGCAACACUGGCGUCCGCGACAGCAGAAGUUGCAGUGUGUCGGUUGCUUUUUUUCUAUAGUAUUUUGUUGCUUUUGUUGUUGCUGUCGUUGUCGUUGUUGUUGUUGGCUCGUAAAACGAUUCGUACAUAUAAUUGCUUUUGGUGUGUGCGGCUCCCAGCCAUCCUCCUCUCACUUCGCCAUGCCAUUCUGAGUUACAGUUUUUGCAAUUCGCAAGCGCGUUGAAAUCAUUCGUCAGGAUUUAUGCGAAUGAGCGACAGUUUUUGCCAUUUGUUAGCAGCGGGGAUAUGCGCUGAGAAGCGCCGAGGAGAGCGGAAGCAGCAACAGCGACAACAAAAACAACAACAACAACAACCAGUACGUACGGAACAUAAGCGAUGAAUGAUGGUGUAUCCGCAUCCACAUCCACAUCCGCAUCCGUAUCUACAGCUAACGCCGUGGCAGAACUAAAGUAUCCGAGUGACUCUGAGCAGUAUCCGAGCAUCUAUGUACGAUUGACAUAAAUGGACAAAUUGAGCUUUUAAAUUUGCAGCAGCAUCUAAAAAGGAAGAAGCAGAGCCAGGAUCAGAAGGAGAGCAGCAUAACAAUGCAUUCACAUUAGGAGGCGAGGCCGUCCGUCCCAAAGGGCGGACAUAACUAAC